GGGGCUUAACACAUGCAAGUCGAGGGGCAUCAGGAACAUAGCUUGCUUUCUUUGCUGGCGACCGGCGCACGGGUGAGUAACACGUAUCCAACCUGCCCUUUACUCGGGGAUAGCCUUUCGAAAGAAAGAUUAAUACCCGAUAGUAUAAUGAUUCCGCAUGGUUUCAUUAUUAAAGGAUUCCGGUAAAGGAUGGGGAUGCGUUCCAUUAGGUUGUUGGUGAGGUAACGGCCCACCAAGCCUUCGAUGGAUAGGGGUUCUGAGAGGAAGGUCCCCCACAUUGGAACUGAGACACGGUCCAAACUCCUACGGGAGGCAGCAGUGAGGAAUAUUGGUCAAUGGGCGCUAGCCUGAACCAGCCAAGUAGCGUGAAGGAUGAAGGCUCUAUGGGUCGUAAACUUCUUUUAUAUAAGAAUAAAGUGCAGUAUGUAUACUGUUUUGUAUGUAUUAUAUGAAUAAGGAUCGGCUAACUCCGUGCCAGCAGCCGCGGUAAUACGGAGGAUCCGAGCGUUAUCCGGAUUUAUUGGGUUUAAAGGGAGCGUAGGUGGACUGGUAAGUCAGUUGUGAAAGUUUGCGGCUCAACCGUAAAAUUGCAGUUGAUACUGUCAGUCUUGAGUACAGUAGAGGUGGGCGGAAUUCGUGGUGUAGCGGUGAAAUGCUUAGAUAUCACGAAGAACUCCGAUUGCGAAGGCAGCUCACUGGACUGCAACUGACACUGAUGCUCGAAAGUGUGGGUAUCAAACAGGAUUAGAUACCCUGGUAGUCCACACAGUAAACGAUGAAUACUCGCUGUUUGCGAUAUACAGUAAGCGGCCAAGCGAAAGCAUUAAGUAUUCCACCUGGGGAGUACGCCGGCAACGGUGAAACUCAAAGGAAUUGACGGGGGCCCGCACAAGCGGAGGAACAUGUGGUUUAAUUCGAUGAUACGCGAGGAACCUUACCCGGGCUUAAAUUGCAGUGGAAUGAUGUGGAAACAUGUCAGUGAGCAAUCACCGCUGUGAAGGUGCUGCAUGGUUGUCGUCAGCUCGUGCCGUGAGGUGUCGGCUUAAGUGCCAUAACGAGCGCAACCCUUAUCUUCAGUUACUAACAGGUCAUGCUGAGGACUCUGGAGAGACUGCCGUCGUAAGAUGUGAGGAAGGUGGGGAUGACGUCAAAUCAGCACGGCCCUUACGUCCGGGGCUACACACGUGUUACAAUGGGGGGUACAGAAGGCAGCUAGCGGGUGACCGUAUGCUAAUCCCAAAAGCCUCUCUCAGUUCGGAUCGAAGUCUGCAACCCGACUUCGUGAAGCUGGAUUCGCUAGUAAUCGCGCAUCAGCCACGGCGCGGUGAAUACGUUCCCGGGCCUUGUACACACCGCCCGUCAAGCCAUGUGAGCCGGGGGUACCUGAAGUACGUAACCGCAAGGAUCGUCCUAGGGUAAAACUGGUGACUG
rnacentral:rRNA from 1 species